rfam:Schistosoma haematobium scaffold185_34, whole genome shotgun sequence.
AUCCAGCUGACGAGUUCCGAAUAGGACGAAACACACACUUCCUGGAU